rnacentral:rRNA from 1 species
GUCUAUGGCUAUACCACCCUGAACGUGCCUGAUCUUGUCUGAUCUUGGAAGCUAUGCAGAGUCAGGCUUGUUUAGUCCUUUGAUGGGAGAACUGUUGGGU